rnacentral:misc_RNA from 1 species
GAUGAAGAACGCAGUGAAAUGCGAUAAGUAAUGUGAAUUGCAGAAUUCAGUGAAUCAUCGAAUCUUUGAACGCACAUUGCGCCCAUUAGUAUUCUAGUGGGCAUGCCUGUUCGAGCGUCAUUUCAACCCUCAAGCUCAGCUUGGUGUUGGGCCCCGCCGCCCCGGCGGGCCCUAAAGUCAGUGGCGGUGCCGUCCGGCUCCGAGCGUAGUAAUUCUUCUCGCUCUGGAGGUCCGGUCGUGUGCUCGCCAGCAACCCCCAAUUUUUUUCAGGUUGACCUCGGAUCAGGUAGGGAUACCCGCUGAACUUAAGCAUAUCAAUAAGCGGAGGA